rnacentral:misc_RNA from 1 species
GAAAUGCGAUAAGUAAUGUGAAUUGCAGAAUUCAGUGAAUCAUCGAAUCUUUGAACGCAGCUUGCGCUCCUUGGUAUUCCUUGGAGCAUGCCUGUUUGAGUAUCAUGAAAUCUUCAAAGUAAAUCUUUUGUUAACUCAAUUGGUUUCUACUUUGGUAUUGGAGGUCUUUGCAGCUUCACACCUGCUCCUCUUUGUUCAUUAGCUGGAUCUCAGUGUUAUGCUUGGUUCCACUCGGCGUGAUAAGUUAUCUAUCGCUGAGGACACUGUAAAAGGUGGCCAAGGUAAAUGCAGAUGAACCACUUCUAAUAGUCCAUUGACUUGGACAAUACUUUUAUGAUCUGAUCUCAAAUCAGGUAGGACUACCCGCUGAACUUAAGC